AUGUUGCCCAGCUGGUCUCAAACUACUGGCUUCAAGUCAUACCUCCAUUUCAGCCUCCCAAAUUUCUGGGAUUACAGGUGUGAGCCACAGUGCCUGGUUCCUGCUUAUUCCUUUCUUAUUUUCUUCCUUUAUUUCUUUUUUACACAGAUACUCAUGAAGACUUACAAUGUGCCAUUUCCCCGUGAAUAUUUCGGAAUACUCUUUCCUACACAGAGAGUUUUAAAACUCAUCCAAACAGUUGAAGACACUCUCAAGGAAUUACAGCAAAAGAUUACAGCUGACAAGUUGACUCUGAAAUAUCACAUGCCAUAAUAUGGUCCUACUUACUGCAAGCAACUGGACACAGUUCAUAAUGGCAUGGUAAUGCUUCAUAUUUCAGAAUCUGAAUCCAGUUCAUUAAGACUGUACCAACAUAGGAUUCUACAUAUCCUCAACAGAACAUAUUUCAAAGAGAUUUCAAUGACAGAUUUCAAUAUUCUUUAGAUAUUCUCAGAGAUCUUGAACCCACAACAGUG
rnacentral:lncRNA from 1 species